CGGUAACGGAGNAUACUCGAUAAUAUAUUGAACCGCAUGGUUCAAUAGUGAAAGACGGUUUUGCUGUCACUUAUAGAUGGAUCCGCGCCGCAUUAGCUAGUUGGUAAGGUAACGGCUUACCAAGGCAACGAUGCGUAGCCGACCUGAGAGGGUGAUCGGCCACACUGGAACUGAGACACGGUCCAGACUCCUACGGGAGGCAGCAGCA
rnacentral:rRNA from 1 species